AUUGAACGCUGGCGGCAGGCCUAACACAUGCAAGUCGAACGAGUGGCGGCCGGGUGUGUAAUGUCUGGGAAACUGCCUGAUGGAGGGGGAUUACUACUGGAAACUGUAGCUAAUACCGCAUACCCUCAGAUUUUCCCAGAUGGGAUUAGCUAGUAGGUGGGGUAACGGAGUACUUAGGCGACGAUCCCUCGCUGGUCUGAGAGGAUGACCAGCCACAAUGGAACGGAGAAACGGUCCCGACUCCUCCGGGAGGCAGCAGUGGGGAAUAUUGGAGAAUGGGGGCAAGAAUGAUGCAGCAAUGCCGCGAGUAUGAAGAAGGCCCUCGGGUUGUAAAAUACCUUUAUUGGGGAGGCGUUACCCGCAGAAGAAGCACCGGCUAACUCCGUGCCAGCAGCCGCGGUAAUUC
rnacentral:rRNA from 1 species